rnacentral:rRNA from 1 species
UGGCAAAGGAUGUGCGUCCGCCCAGACAACCAGGAUGUUGGCUUAGAAGCAGCCAUCCAUUCAAAGAGUGCGUAACAGCUCACUGGUCGAGUGGACAUGCGCCGACAAUACACGGGGCUAAGCUGGACACCGAAGCGGCGGGAUUUUGAUUUUCAGAAUCGGUAGGGGAGCUUCCCAUGGGCGGAGAAGCCGGAGGGCGACCGACGGUGGAGCGCAUGGGAGUGAGAAUGCUGGCAUGAGUAGCGAGAGACGAGAGAGUAACUCGUCCGCCGUGAACCCGAGGUUUCCUGGGCAAGGCUAAUCCUCCCAGGGUCAGUCGGGGGCUAAGGCGAGGCCGGGAGGCGUAGCCGACGCGCAGCAGGCAGACAUUCCUGCACCGCGCACGCGGCGCUACGACCGACGGGGCGACGGAUGGGGGUGGCUCGGCGGGGUUCUGGACGUCCCCGUGAUGGAGCGCGGCCCGCGGACCAGGGAAAUCCGGUCCGCACGAGGGCGAGGCUCCGGACGAAGCGAUUGAGCGAAGCGAGUGAGCCCGAGGUCCCUAGAAAAACCCCUAGGCAGGCGCGUGCGCGCCCGUACCGCAAACCGACACAGGUGGGUGGGUAGAACAUACCGAGGCGAUCGGGUCAACCAUGGUCAAGGAACUCGGCACAAUGGCCCCGUAACUUCGGGAGAAGGGGUGCCCGCGCGUACGUGAACCGGCUUGCCCGGGGAGCGGAGGCGGGCCGCAGUGGAGAGGCCCAAGCGACUGUUUACCAAAAACACAGGACUCUGCAGAAGCCGCAAGGCGACGUAUAGGGUCUGACGCCUGCCCGGUGCCGGAAGGUCACGCGGAGGAGUUAGCGCAUCGCGCGAAGCCCCGAAGCCAAGCCCCGGUAAACGGCGGCCGUAACUAUAACGGUCCUAAGGUAGCGAAAUUCCUUGUCGGGUAAGUUCCGACCUGCACGAAAGGCGCAACGACUUGGGCGCUGUCUCGACCAUGGACCCGGUGAAAUUGCACUGGUCGUGAAGAUGCGACUUACCCGCGGAAGGACGGAAAGACCCCGUGAACCUUCACUGCAGCUUGGCAUUGGCCGCUGGUCCCGCGUGUAGAGGAUAGGCAGGAGGCACAGAUCCGGAGGCGCCAGCCCCCGGGGAGCCGCCCUUGGAAUACUGCCCUCGCGCGACCGGCGUCCUAACCCGAGGCCGUCAACCGGCUCGGGGACCGUGCCAGGCGGGCAGUUUGACUGGGGCGGUCGCCUCCUAAAGGGUAACGGAGGCGCGCGAAGGUCCGCUCGGGACGGUCGGCAACCGUCCUUUUGAAUGCAAGAGUACAAGCGGGCUUGACUGCGAGGCCCACAAGCCGAGCAGGUGCGAAAGCAGGCUCUAGUGAUCCGGCGGCCCCGAGUGGGUGGGCCGUCGCUCAACGGAUAAAAGGUACUCCGGGGAUAACAGGCUGAUCUUGCCCAAGAGUCCACAUCGACGGCAAGGUUUGGCACCUCGAUGUCGGCUCAUCGCAUCCUGGGGCUGGAGCAGGUCCCAAGGGUACGGCUGUUCGCCGUUUAAAGCGGUACGCGAGCUGGGUUCAGAACGUCGUGAGACAGUUCGGUCCCUAUCCUCCGUGGGCGCAGGAGAAUCGAUGGAGGCUGCCCCCAGUACGAGAGGACCGGGGUGGACGCACCUCCGGUGAACCGGUUGUCGACCAACGGCACGGCCGGGUAGCCGCGUGCGGCGCGGAUAACCGCUGAAGGCAUCUAAGCGGGAAGCCGUUCCAGGGAUUAGUUCUCCUUCCGGUAAGGGCCCAGGUAGACUACCUGGUCGAUAGACGGCAGGUGCAAGGCUGGCGACAGCCUCAGCCGAGCCGCACUAAUCGCCCGAGCUCUUCCGGAA